rnacentral:miRNA from 1 species
UGAUUACUUGCUUUGGAGUUCUU